GUCUACGAUCAUAUCUAGUGGAAAGCACCGUUACCCGUCCGAUCAACUGUAGUUAAGCCACUAAGAGCCGAACCGAGUAGUGUAGUGGGAGACCAUACGCGAAACUUCGGUGUUGUAGACU
rnacentral:rRNA from 1 species